rnacentral:rRNA from 1 species
UACGUAGGGGGCAAGCGUUGUCCGGAAUUAUUGGGCGUAAAGAGCGCGUAGGCGGUUAUGCAGGUCCGCUGUGAAAACUGGAGGCUUAACCUCCAGACGUCGGUGGAAACCGUAUAACUAGAGUCCGGAAGAGGAGAGUGGAAUUCCUGGUGUAGCGGUGAAAUGCGCAGAUAUCAGGAAGAACACCCGUGGCGAAGGCGGCUCUCUGGGACGGUACUGACGCUGAGACGCGAAAGCGUGGGGAGCGAACAGG